UACGUAGGUCCCGAGCGUUGUCCGGAUUUAUUGGGCGUAAAGCGAGCGCAGGCGGUUAGAUAAGUCUGAAGUUAAAGGCUGUGGCUUAACCAUAGUACGCUUUGGAAACUGUUUAACUUGAGUGCAAGAGGGGAGAGUGGAAUUCCAUGUGUAGCGGUGAAAUGCGUAGAUAUAUGGAGGAACACCGGUGGCGAAAGCGGCUCUCUGGCUUGUAACUGACGCUGAGGCUCGAAAGCGUGGGGAGCAAACAGGAUUAGAUACCCGUGUAGUCC
rnacentral:rRNA from 1 species